GUGGGGAAUAUUGGACAAUGGGCGAAAGUCUGAACCAGCCAUGCCGCGUGAAGGAUGAAGGCCCUCUGGGUUGUAAACUUCUUUUAUCUGGGACGAAAAAAGGGUAUUCUUACUCACUUGACGGUACCAGAGGAAUAAGCACCGGCUAACUCCGUGCCAGCAGCCGCGGUAAUACGGAGGGUGCAAGCGUUAUCCGGAUUCACUGGGUUUAAAGGGUGCGUAGGUGGGUAUUUAAGUCAGUGGUGAAAUCUCCGAGCUUAACUCGGAAACUGCCAUUGAUACUAUUUACCUUGAAUGCCCUGGAGGUAAGCGGAAUAUGUCAUGUAGCGGUGAAAUGCUUAGAUAUGACAUAGAACACCAAUUGCGAAGGCAGCUUACUACGGGGUGAUUGACACUGAGGCACGAAAGCGUGGGGAGCAAACAGGAUUAGAAACCCUUGUAGUCC
rnacentral:rRNA from 1 species